rnacentral:rRNA from 1 species
ACGGGAGGCAGCAGUGGGGAAUAUUGGGCAAUGGGCGAAAGCCUGACCCAGCAACGCCGCGUGAAGGAAGAAGGUCUUCGGAUUGUAAACUUCUUUUAUGAGGGACGAAGGACGUGACGGUACCUCAUGAAUAAGCCACAGCUAACUACGUGCCAGCAGCCGCGGUAAUACGUAGGUGGCAAGCGUUAUCCGGAUUUACUGGGUGUAAAGGGUGCGUAGGCGGGCUUGCAAGUCAGGCGUGAAAUACCGGGGCUUAACUCCGGGGCUGCGCUUGAAACUGUAAGUCUUGAGUGAAGUAGAGGCAGGCGGAAUUCCCAGUGUAGCGGUGAAAUGCGUAGAUAUUGGGAGGAACACCAGUGGCGAAGGCGGCCUGCUGGGCUUUAACUGACGCUGAGGCACGAAAGUAUGGGGAGCAAACAGGAUUAGAUACCCUGGUA